UGCCGGUUAACUCAGUUGGUUAGAGCGUGGUGCUAAUAACGCCAAGGUCGCGGGUUCGAGCCCCGUACGGGCCA